ensembl:lncRNA
UGGCUUCGGGAGAAAAUUACCCUGACGCCUAGCCCACCAGAGCUUCCAUUCUCCAGAGCCCCUGAAGUGGUUAUCAGACGUGAGUUUCGAAUUAAUGGCCAGAUAGGUGAGCUGGGGCAGAAAGAUAAGUUAUCGUACACUAAUCUCAUGCACCAAAUAGACUCUGGAAAACGUAAGGGCCACAGUGAUUUCGAAAUUGUUGAAGCUGUAGUAAAAGCUGCUACACCAGGGCUCAGUUUACGUGAUAUGCUGGAAGCUAAAAGUAAUUUGACACUGGUGCAUUUGAAGACGAUUCUCAAAGCCCAUUUCAAAGAAAACAGUACUACAGAUAUGUUCCACAGACUCGUUAACAUAACUCAAGAUGCAAAAGAAUCCCCUCAGAACUUUCUGUUUCGUGCAGUUGAACUCAAAGAGAGGCUACUGGCGGCUGCAAAAGACGCCAGCUCAGAUGUACAGUAUAGCCCAGACGUAAUUCAGAAGAAGUUUCUUAGGUCAGUCAGUACAGGACUACUGAGUGAUAAUGUUAAAAUGCAGCUGAAACCUCACCUGGAUGAUCUAGGAGUGACUGACGAGAUAUUAAUAGAGAAAAUGAAUGAUGCUGCUGCUGUUGAUUGGGAGACACAGCAGAAAUUUAAGAAAAGUAUCCCAAAUAAGCCAGCCAGAAUAAAUGAGCUACAAACAGAAACAACUACUUACCAGCUGUAUAGUGACAGGGAAACAGACUUUGGCCAGCCGUCUGAACACAGCACUUCAGUCAAGGCCAGUGUUAAAAGCCAGAAGAUACAAGCUGCAAAAAGCCCAGCAGAAAACGAACUGAUGGAUGCAGUGAAACAGUUGAGAGAGGAAGUGGCUGAGCUGAGAAAGAAUGUUAAGGACUCAGCAAGACCAUCUCACCAGUUCCAAAGCAGAGGGAAGAGGGCAUGCAGAGGAUGUCAAGACCGGGGAGAAGAGGAACAGUGUGACCACUGCUUCAAAUGCGGCCUGAGUGGACACUUCUCAAGAGGAUGCAGAGGUCAAAGGAACACAAGAGGUAACACUGAUUCAGCUAAUAUCAAAGGACAGACCGUAGAAUAUUCCUCCCCUGCCACUCCAGAACAACAGAGCGGGUCACCCAACACCCCGACUAUUCUCAGAGAAAGCAUUUUCCAAUUAGAAGAGAAACUGCAAGCAGAAAGGUGUUCCCCAGGUGGAAGAUUAGCAGGGUCUGCUUAUGUGAGCCAUAUCUCCCCACGACACCAUUCACAGCUGCUGCGUCUUAUUGGAAAGAGGUGCAUGGUGAGUUGCUACCUAGAUGGAGUGAAGACUCAAGCCUUAUGGGACACUGGAUCGCAAGUGUGCCUCAUCAAUGACACCUGGAGGAAGAAGUGCAUCCCAAAGGUGAAGGUACGGAGCACUGAGGAGCUCCUUGGCCCUGGUUCUCUUGUGGGGAAAGCCGUCAACCAGACCGACAUCCCUUUCCUAGGGUGGGUGGAGGUGACGUUCCAGCUAGACCCAUCCCAUGCUCCAGAGUUCACGCUUCAAGUGCCCAUGCUCGUGACAGCAUUCAACAAACCGAUUUGAUGUAGACAUAUAAGAAGAGGAGUCAACCAAAGGAGAUAUUUUUGUGUACAGGCAGAAGGCAUCACGGACUGGUUUUGGUGUUCAAUACCUGCAAUGUAGGCCCUGUUAAUAUCCAUAAAUAUAACAAAAUCUGAUUGUGUCUUCAGGUAUUUUACAUAAUGAAAAUAAUUCCAGAAUAUAUUUGCAUUUUUGUUCAUUUCUGUCAGUUUUUUUGUAAGUGUUUCCAUUGAAACUCUCCUGGUAAUUGUAUUGAUGGUGUUUUGCAGGAGGAAGAGGAGCCAGAUUUUGAUGAUGCUCCUGUUGCUCUCCUUACAUUGGGUCCCGACCCCUUCAGCUGCGAGAACAUCUUUGAAUUGGGUGCAGAGGUUUUCUGAGGCAUUUAUGUUGUUGUUUGGCCUGACAUGCUUUCAAUUUAGAAUAUCCCAAAAAACUCAGGCACAUUCUCAUACAGAACAUUUGUAUGUGUCUGGAUGACAACAAACCUCUGAAAACGUCCUUACUCACCUUAAAAAAUGAUUUGUUGAAAUAAACGAUUUGUUGUUGACUUGUUAACUUUGUAA